CGAACUCUUUCUGGCUGAAGGAGUACUCAACUCCAAAAAGCCUGAAAGCAGCAUACCCAUCUGGUCCAGAAUAUGGGUCGUAGUCGAAUGAACUCAGGAACUCCAAAGUCAGGUUCCUAUAUGUGUUACUCAAGUCAUCAGCAAAUGCGUCCUAGUGGAGCUGGUGGCUAAGGAAUCGGAUACUAGGCUCGAUACCUAGUGCCUCCAUACAAUGUUGAUCAGGGUAACGUGUGGGUGCCAUAGGGCGCUGGUAUAAAGCAAUGUAGCGCUCCCUCUGAGCGUUGUCUCUAUAGGCAACAUGCAUGUCAUCAAAACCCUGCAUCCUGUGAAAGUUAGGAAAGUGAUCCUGAAAAUACAAACCAUUCAAACUUUAGUCUCAAUGCAAAAUAAGAUAAAAUAAAAAUAAAAAUAGAAAUAAAUGUAAAUAAAUGCGAAAAAAGUAAAAUGAAAAGAAAAACCAUGGGUUGCCUCCCACGCAACGCUUUUUUAAUGUCAUUAGCUUGACGAUCAGAAUUUAUACACCUGUAGUAGUAUGAAUCGGUGGAUCAAUCAGGGUGUGGCUCGAGUAGUAUGC
rnacentral:lncRNA from 1 species